rnacentral:rRNA from 1 species
CUCGCACGCCAGUGUGGGUGGAGUCGUCGUUGAAAUACCAGUCUGGUCGUGCUGGAUGUCUAACCUGGGUCCGUGAUCCGGAUCAGGGACAGUGUCUGAUGGGUAGUUUAACUGGGGCGGUUGCCUCCUAAAGAGUAACGGAGGCGCCCAAAGGUUCCCUCAGCCUGGUUGGCAAUCAGGUGGUGAGUGUAAGUGCACAAGGGAGCUUGACUGUGAGACCGACGGGUCGAGCAGGGACGAAAGUCGGGACUAGUGAUCCGGCGGUGGCUUGUGGAAGCGCCGUCGCUCAACGGAUAAAAGGUACCCCGGGGAUAACAGGCUGAUCUUCCCCAAGAGUCCAUAUCGACGGGAUGGUUUGGCACCUCGAUGUCGGCUCGUCGCAUCCUGGGGCUGGAGUCGGUCCCAAGGGUUGGGCUGUUCGCCCAUUAAAGCGGUACGCGAGCUGGGUUUAGAACGUCGUGAGACAGUUCGGUCCCUAUCCGCUGUGCGCGUAGGAGUCUUGAGAAGGGCUGUCCCUAGUACGAGAGGACCGGGACGGACGAACCUCUGGUGUGCCAGUUGUCCUGCCAAGGGCAUGGCUGGUUGGCUACGUUCGGGAGGGAUAACCGCUGAAAGCAUCUAAGCGGGAAGCCUGCUUCGAGAUGAGGACUCCCACCCCCU